AGGAGGCAGGAUUAGAUUGCAGCUCUGACUCAGAGCAGCGUGCGGAGGCUCGCAUUGUGAAUUUUAGCUCCAGAUAAACUUCAAGAACAAACCAGCAAUCCUGAGAGGACCCACAGACCCUCUGAAAAAAGCGGACUGUUCCUGCAACACCCAGGAGACACCCCAAAUACUGUGAGUGACCCAACUGCGGAAGCGGGAAAGGGAGAUCCUCCUCUCCUGAACACACACCCCCACUGGAGAAACUGAAGGUCUGUUUGUGGGAGAGGUUUCUGACCUUACCUGGAGCUGAGUCAAUUUAGAGGGCCAAGCAAAAUACAGGGAGGAAGCAGCAGGUGGGAUCUCGCUGGGUUCCCAAGCAAGUCAUUCCUGCCUGGCACCACAGGGAUCCUCUGGGAGGCAGCCAGAGGAGUAGGGGGAAAUCACCACAGGGAAGAAGGUCUCCAGCUGAACUUUGUAACAAUUUGAACUGGGCAAGAAGCUGAAUCCGGUGUGCAACCUCCACAGAUGAAGAAUCUGAGGCACAAAGAGGUCAACUGGCUUGCCCAAGGGUACUUGGCAGACUGACACUAGAAGAAAUAUUUUAAAAAAUUACUUGAGUGGAAGAAUAUGAUAAUACACAGGAACUUGGAUCCACAAAAAGAAAGAAAGUUCUUCAGAAACAGCUAAAAAGAAACCCCCAUUUCCCAUCUGAGCACCAGCCACAUGACCACCUCUGUAUUGAACAUCUGGACUUUCAACCUGGAUACCCCAGGGGCAUCUCAAAUCAACCUGUCUGGCCUAGACUCAUCCAUCUCCACGUUGCCCUACGUAGACCUGCUUCUCCUCCUGCAUUCCAUAGCUAUCAGAAAUCUCUUGCCUGGAUUAUAGAAACAACACUUGGAAGCCUCAUUUCAGUGAUUGCAGCUUUUGCCCUUAUAUCCGUCCAACUGCACUGAAGCCAAGUUUCUGCAGAACUGGAAGACUGGUUUCUGGGAACCUGGUGAUUGGUCAGUCCAAGUCCAAAGUGGUUGCUCUUCAUGGAUUUGCACAAGUAAAUAUCAACAUUUCAGGCCAACAUUACUUUGUGAAUGCCAAUCCCUGGGCAUAAAUUUUUUUCCCAGCCCCUAUGUUCUUCCCUACCACCAGCCCGACUCAGCACCUGGUGAAAUCUCACUCUGGCUUCCAGGUCCAGCUCAUAUACUUCCUCCUCUGUGCAUCCUUCCCUCACACCCACCCUUCUCCAGUGCAGUUCAUUAUGUCCUCUGCAGUGUACACAGAGGACAUACAUCCCUCUAACAUUGUGGUUACCCUGCUGUGUGCUGAAAGCCACCCUGGUAUCUGCUUGUUUCUCUCUUUUGCACUUGAUGAAAUAUUCACAGGUGGUCACAGUCUCAGUCACCACUGUUUUCAGUAUCAAGCUUGGUGCUGAACAAUUGCUCAGUAAAUGUCCAUCAGAUGAACAGUGGGUACCUACUUGGGAAAACAUAAUAAAAUGUAUUUGUCCUAUCACCUAACUUUAUUUACAAAGGAAUUUUAAAUAGAAUCAUAAAGCGUCAGAAUAGGAAAGAAACCAUGAAGUCACCAGAGGAAGUGGUGGUAACUGUUUCCCAGUGAAAAUCCCCAAAUAGGUUUAUGUGGGCAAAUGAGAAGGAACCUUGGAAAGAUUCCACUGGAAGGCAUUUUGAUUUCCCAGAGUGGGCUGGCCCCUGUAAUGCAAACACAGAUCUGAUCAUGAGCUCUGAGCCGAGCAGACUUGCUCUUUUUGAACCUCCUCCUGCUAGGAUUCCUUGGGCCCUUCAAGGGGCACUCCCAGACUAGGGUAACAGGGGUUUCUCCCACUACAGAAGUGUGGAAUAUUAUGGAAUACUAUAAAGUGACUCUGUUCCCUCCAACCCCUUCACUUCCCGCUUACCUCUCCAUCCACUCUGCCCCCAUUGACUGAUUUCUUCUGGUUCUGAGGAAGUCUCUCCUCCUGACUCAGGAUCAAGGCCAGUCUCAGGCCCUGCACCACCAUCAUUCUCCAUGCCACAGGAGCACCCUCCACUCCUAGGCCCUGCGUGUGGUGGCUGAUCACUACAUGCUUAGCUGGGCCUAGCACAAUGCUGACGCAGGGACAUAUCCUUCUUCACUCUCUGGCAACCCCCUGGACGCAUCUGCCCUUUCAGGAUUUUGUUUCUGACAGUCUACCUCCAGCUGGCUUCUUUUCACUAGUUUCAGCAGAUUUAGGCUGGGUCUAGGUUUAGGGCUCCUGAGAAGUCUCAUUCCCCCUUCCUUCCCUGUGGGAAGGCCGUUUCUUACUUCCUACUGAAGAUGAGAUGUCUUCUCUAGAUUUUAUAGCUCAAAUGUCAAAUAAGGUGGGGUUUAGGCCUUGGGAUCAGCAUGAGGAGAUUUGACUGCCCUCGUUUCCCUCAUUCAAAGCUGUGCGGGUGUCCCCAGGAGCUUGCACCAGCUCUGCCCCAUCUGAGAAUUCCCUUCUGAUUCUCUGUUCAACUUCUUCCAAUUAAUGUGCUCAGGUUGUGAAUAUCACUAUGGGGCUUAAAGCAGUUAAAUUCUUCAAAACAGCUUUUGACUUUUAGCUUCUGGGUUCUCAAAAGUCCCCCAACCCCACCAGCUCCAGGCCCUUAUAUGCAGUUUUUACCCCAUUUAUACACUGCCGUCUGAAACACAGCAGAAAUUGCAUUCAUCCCUCAGAGAGUGUGAAUGUUUUGAGAAAAUUACUCAGCAUUUAAAUGUCAAGAUAAUCAAGACCACACAGCCACAAAUAAUUACAUAAGGAUAGAGAAGAGGCAUCUCCACUACCCAGGCUGCCAGGGCCCUUCCCAGGGCCAGGGAGUCCAGCCCACACGUUUCUCAGGUAAAGAGGAAAUAAACAGCAGCAAUGGACCACGGCCCUACCCCCCAUGGAAGCUCCCCCUGACCUCUCCUGAGGUCUCAUCUGAGGCCCAUAAGUACUUAGACUGGAUGGAUAUCUCACCCUCAUAAAGCCCUCCAUGGCAAUCAGUUUUAUUUUGAAAAUUGUUCUACAUCUCCCCUCUGCUAAGACUUGAAAAAAAAAAAAAAGGAAAAUGCUUAAGGAAAUAUUGCAAUGCUCUUUGAGUCCUGAUGAAGCAGCCAUACUAAUUCACUUCUUCCUUGUGGGAGGUGGUGAAACACCACACAGCUGCUCAAAGCCUAUUUUGGAAGUGGAUGCUGGAGAGCAGCAGCCCCUGGGCACUCCCUCCUCUGAAGGCCUUCACUGUGUUUCAAAUGAAUUGGAGGACUUGAUUCAAGCAGGGAGAUAUUUUCCUGAUUUGUUUUUUAGUGUCAGGGCACUGGCAGCAACUGGAGAUGUUUAAAUUGUGAGACAUCAGGAAGUGAGAGCAUGAGUACUUACACAUAGAUUGGGGGAAGACUCCAACCACAGGAUUUGCAUUUAGAGAGAGGGCUGGGACUAAGAUAUCUGGAUUCCACAGGACCAUUUCUAUUUCAGAGAGAUAUCCUCCUAAUUAAUUUCUUUACAAAUAAAGAGCUGUCCUUAUCCUAAUUAUUAAAAGUGAAGACAGAAACACACUUAUGGCAGGGCGCGGUGGCUCACACCUAUAAUCCCAGCAGUUUUGGAGGCUGAGGUGGGCGGAUCACCUGAGGUUAGGAGUUCGAGACCAGCCUGGCCAACAUGGUGAAACCCCAUCUCUACUAAAAAUACAAAAAAUUAACUGGGCUUGGUGGUACACACCUGUAGUCCUAGGUACUUGGGAGGCUGAGGCAGGAGAAUUGCUUUAGCCUGGGAGGCAGACAUUGCAGUGAGCCGAGAUUGCACCACUGCACUCCAGCCUGGGCAACAGAGGAAGACUCUGUCUCAAAAAAAAAAAAAAACAAAAACAAACAAACAAAAAACAAAAAAAAAACAAAAGAAAGAAAAGAAAAAGAAAAACCCCCCAAAAACGAAACAAAACAAAACAAAAACACUUACGAUGUUCUUGUCAUGGUAAUUGAUAUAAAUUGUCACCUUGCCAAGGUGCCAAGCUCCAUCCUGCACACAGUGGGGAGAUAGCACUCCCACAAGCUCAGACCAAGAUCAGCUAAAUAGGGUACAUGCAAGUCAAUGGCAUCUUGGCAGCUGAGACAGUAGGUGCAUGGGGCAGUCAGAGAGAGUGAGAACUGAGCCUGGUGGUGAGUUGUCUAGGAAAUCAGCAGUCCAUCUACAUAAGGAAUCCACCCUCUAUGACUUUACUGCCUCAUGCACGAUAUUACAUCCUUUAAGGAAGCCUUUAAUUCAUCUAUUGUCAAAACAGUGAAGGCUCAUAAAACUCUUACAGCCCAUUCACACAACUUCUCUUUGAGAAUGCAGCUGGGCACUGAUUUGGUUGAUGGUGUCUGUCUUGAAGCUUCCUAAUCAGACUGCAAAUCUCCCCAUUAGCUCAUCAAUGACCAUGUUACAAAAUCUAUAAGUCAUUUCCCGGGCCUUGUCCUACUUGACCUAUCAGCAGCAUUUGACCUAGCAGACCAUGUGCUUUCCAGGAUACCAUAGUCUCCUGAGUUGGCUCGCCCCUUUUUAUGUCAUUCUUCUUCAUGGAGCUCUCAUUAACCUGAGCUCUAAAACAUUGCAGUCUCCUGGUUCUUAUAAUUCAUAGACCUCUAAGGUGCUGCAUGGAUUUACACUAGGGGGCACAUUCACAUAGAUAUCUUGGUGCUAUCUGGAGUUCUGCAAUGCCCAGUUAUUUACUAAACCAUUGCUGAAGCAUGAUCAUAGACCAAUCAAUGCUGGUCUACCAACUGUUUGCUGCCAGCUCACAACAAGACAAGGACAGAUAUUGAGAGCACUUAUUUAGAAACAUUUAGAGCAAAGUGACAGUGUUGCUGCAUCCACACUACCCCAGUUAGACUCUUCUAGUGUUCAUGAUCUGAUCAGGUACAGACCAGUUUGGGCAUUGUUGAACUCGUGGAGAGACACACGUGAUGUGAGCUGUGUACCGGGCAUGUGAAAUAGGAUAGAGUGUGAUAUUUUCACUUAAAUUAGUCGAGUGAAAGUACAUAAAAUCUGAAUCCAUGUCUUUUAUGGAAAAAUAAUUUCAAUAAAAAAUAAGUAACCCAACUGUAGUUAAUAAUAUUGUAUUGGAUACUUAUAAUUUACUGAGAGUAGAUCUUAAGUGUUCUCACGCACACACAAAAAAAGAUUAUUGUGAGGUGAUGAAUGUGUUAACUAGUUAACCUGCUUGUAUUAAUCAUUUUACAAUGUAUAGGUAUAUUAAAUACCAUGUUGUACACUUUAAAUAUAUACAAUUUUAUUUGUCAAUUAUACUUCAAUAAAGCUGAAAAAAUAUAAUUUAAAUCAACUAACAUGUUAUAGGAUAUGUCAUUGAAUGUGGCUGCUGCUGAAGAAUUGAAGAUGGAUAUUGAAAAUAUAACUUUCAUUUUACAUAAAGGCUAAAUAUGAAUAUCUUGAGCCUAGAGAAUUUGCUUUAAAAUUCUUUCUUCCAUACCCAUCAACCUAUCUCUUCUACCAUGAGUAAUAGUAAAACAAAACAUAGAAAUAAUUUAGGUACACCUUGUCCUCAAUAAGUACUCUUGUCAUCAAUCCAACUUAGAUAAGUUAACAAGGAAGAAGCAAAUUCAUUUGUCCCUUUAAAAAGUUAAAUGUUGAUAUACAGUGAAUGUUCAAAAUGUGUGUAGAGAUUUUGAAAAUGUGAAAUCACUGUCUCAUUCUUAAUGUUUUGCUUAGCUGUAUUUCAAAAGGAUAAAAAAUAAAUGCAAUGCUGUCACUAAUCACCUAUAUGCAUAAUUUCAAUGAGCAAUGCACAGUUUUGGUAAUUUUUUUCUACAUUGUGCUUUUCCUGAUUAUAUUAUUGAAAUGUAUUUUCAUAUCUGUUGAAUAUAUUAAUACAAAUUUGGGCUUGCAUUUUAUAUGUAUUUAUUUUUAUUUCAUUUUCUUUUUCUAGUAAUUUAUUUUAUUUUUACAGAAGUGUCAGACUGCAGUUGACUAGAAACUAACACACACACAGAUACACAUUUAUAGACCUCAGAGGCAAUGCAGCCCUGGAAUUGUGCUAGUCCUUCUAUUUUCUAUGUAUACUUACACUCAUGAUGAUAUCAUCAAAUUUCAUGUCCUUAAAUUCCAUCAAAAUGCCAAUGACUUCCAAAUGUGUCUCUUCAGCCCAGACUUCUCCCCUGAACUCAGCUUUGCUUGUCCAAUUGCCUACUUGACAUUUCCACUAGGAUGAGUAACCAAUCCAAAACUGAACUUUUGAUCUUCCCCUAUUCCCACUCAGGAUGCUCUCCUUGUGCAAAACUUCGUCAUCUCAGUAAAUGAAAAGAACAUCUUUCUAGGAGCUCAGGCGAAACGCUCAAGAGUCGUAGUUGACUCUUCUCUUUUUCUCACAGUUCACAUCUAGUCUCUAUUGAAAUUAUCUUGGCUCCACCUACGAAAUACAUCCAGAAUUUAACCACUUCUCACCACCUCCAUUUCCAUUAUGCUAAUCCUAGCAUGUAUCCCCCGUGUCUGGAUUACUGCAAUGAUCUCCUAAACAAUCUCUCUGCUUUCAUUCUGUCUUCCAGUCUCUUCUCAGCUGAGCAGCUAGAAUGAACACUUCAAAGCAAAAGACACUAUGUCACUUCUCUGCUCAAAUCAUUCCAUCUGACUCAGUCUAAAAGUCAAUUGCAAUGACCUUUCAUACCAUGGGUGGUCUGCUCUCUUCCUUUGUCCACUAGGACCCAACCACACUGGCUUCCUUAUUGUUCAUCACAUGCUUCUGCCUUGGGGGCUUUGCACUCAUUGUUUCCUAUUUCUACACUCUUUUUUUUUUAAUUUAAUUUUUACUUUAGAUUCAGGAGGUACAUAUGCAGGCUUAUCACAAGGUUAUAUUGUGUGAGUCUGCAGUUUGGGCUUCUAUUGAUCUUGUUACCCAGAGAGUGAACACAGUACUAAUAGAAAGUUUUUCAGCCCUGCGUCCCUCCCUUCUCCCAUCUUUUGGAGUCCCUCAUGUCUGUUGUUUUCGUCUUUAUGUCCAUAUGUACCCAAGGUUUAGCUCCCACUUGUAAAUAAGAACAUGUGAUAUUUGGUUUUCUGUUAAUUUGCUUAGGCAAAUGGCCUCCAGCUGCACCCAUGUUGCUGUAAAACACACGAUUUCAUUUCUGGUACAUUAUUGACCAACAGAUCCCCUUAGCUUGCUCUCCAGUCUCCUACAGGUAUUUGCCUAAAUGUCAUCACCUCAGUGAGGCUUUUUAUUUUUAGAACCUACGUAAAUUUGCAUCCCUCCGGCUUCACCUCUUCCCUUUUCCUGCAGUAUUUUUCUCCACAGAACUUAAUACUUUCUAAUACACUGUAUAAUUUACUUUUUAAAGCUUGUCACUAGAAUAUAAGCUCCACAAGGGUAAGAAUUUUAUAUCUUUUGUUCAUUGCUGACUUCCUAGCAUCUACAACAGAGGUUAAAACUCUAAUAAGUACGCGCCCUUCUAAUUAUGAGAUCUGUUAUUUGACUGUGAGCCCCUGAUGAGGAGAUGAAACGCACUGCAACAUUUUGACUGCUCUGCUUACCCCAGUGCCAUGCAAAGAACAAGGAUUCAUGCAUACUUAUUAAAAAAAUGAAUCAAGUCUGUCUGGGAACAUUGCAAAUAAUAAGAAUGUACCACCAGACCUCCUGGUUCCUAUUAUCUCAUUUUGAAGAUGAGACAUCUGCAAAGUCAAAAGAUUUCUCUGGAUGUGAGAGACAAACAGUAACUUCUGUGUAGUUCUGGGAAGGAGGCAUCAUAGAGCAGGUGUGUUUUGAGUUCCAGUCCUCAGCAAGAGAGAGAGAAAAAAGAUUACUCAUAGAGAGGUAGGAAAAGGUUUUAAUAAAGUAUAAUUUCCAAGAAUUUGAGUAAGUUCUCUUAGGCCUAAUAUCCCUUUCCAACUUUGAGGACUUGCCCUACUGUCAGAAAUCUCCACAUUUUCUUUACUCUUCUAAAAAGUAACAUCUAGAAGUGAAACUUCUCGCCCCCAUGAGAUUAAAAUUAUAUCAA
rnacentral:lncRNA from 1 species